GUGCUGGAGGGGGCGAUCCCGCCCCCCCCGGAGCUGCUCGGAGGGCCGGAGGGCUGACCCUCGCUUUCGCCCUGCUGAGGUCCAGCUAGGAGGAGGCCGUGUCCCUCCAUGCCCUCUCCCCGCCACCGUGGGGACCGGCUCCCAGCCUGGGACUGGGAGGGAAAGACAGGGGCCCGAAGGCGGUGCGCCAGGACAGAGGGGGAGAGAUGCCGCCCAGCUGGUUAGCCGCUACUCACCCGGAGAGAUUCUGGCUGAGCGUCCAGUGGGAACCAGCCUGGCGGACCUGCAGGUGCUCUCGGAACAGCAGUAAGUGGGCUACGUCGGCAAUACCAAGCAGGUCUACCUGAAACCAUAACGGCGAUGUCAGCUGGAGCUCUUCCCUAUCACUCUGAGAGCGGGUAGGUGGGCACUGAAGUGCUCCGAAAUGCUCAGCUCUCAGCUCCCACUUCCGCAUACAACGGCCCUCCCGCCAGUGAAGAGGGUGACUGCUUGAACUCCAGAAGUUCCAGGUCAGAAACAGAAUUGUGUCUCGUGGGAUACUCUCGGGUACCUCCUGGAACCACGCGUGCCCACCCCAGGCUUCAGAGCAGAGCUGAACAUCUGGCUGGUGAGAGUCAAGUUAAAGCAGUGGGAAAGAGUGUGAGUGACAGAGA